AUGCCCACUCUGGGUGAACUGCAGAGCCCCAUGCUGGUGGAAUCUGUGUGUGUCGAGCCUGACACAAGGCAUGCACUUUAUGAUCAGCCCUGCCAUGCGGAGAUCCGGUUCAGUGCAGCCAAAUAUGCUGAGAUCUCUAUGUUCUCGGAGCUCGCGGCUCAGAAAAAUGCUGUGCAGUUCUUGCUUCUUCGAGUUGCUGAGAGUUAUCUAUGAAGAGCGCUGAGGAUGGUGCUAUGGGUGUUCAUCUGGGUGAGUGUGAGCUUUUUUCAUCAUGCCGCUCACAGCCCAGCGGGGUGUGACACUCUGAUGGGGGAAGCAUGGGGUGCAAUAUGAGGAGAAGGAAGAGUACCUCCUUAGCCAGGGGCACUGGAUGUGGCACCCACUUCCCUUGAGAGGCCAUGAGCUGCUCAAGGGCAAGGACUGUGUCAUAGUCAUUGAUACCUUCCAGGGUAUGGCAUCAUGUGGGCUCCCAGAAUGCAGCAAAGGUCUGCUAAAUGAAGGAACGGAUGGAAAGGUGGAUGGAUACAUGAAUGGAUGGAUGGACGGAUAGAUGAAUAGAUGAAUGAAAUAAAGAACAGGUAGAUGGACAAAUAGGUGGAUGGAUGAACAGAUGGAUGAAUGAGUGACUGAGGGAAUGGAGGGACAGAUGAAUGAAUGAAUGGAUGGACAGAUGGAUGAAUGAAUGGAUAGAUGAAUGAAAGGACGGACAGGUAGAUCAACAGACAGAUGGAUAAAUGAAUGAACAGAUGAAUUAAUGGAUGGAUGGACAGAUGAAUGGAUGAAUGAAUGGAUGGAUAGAUAGGUGGAUAAAUGAGUGGAUGGACAGGUGAAUGGGUAGAUGGAUUAAUGAAUAGAUAGAUGGAUAAAUGGGUGGAUGGGCAGAUGGAUGGGCUGAUGGAUGGAUAAGUGGUUGGACAUAUGGAUAAAUGGAUAAGUGGGUAGGUGAAUAGAUGGAUGAAUGAGGGUGUGGACAGGCAGAUGAAUGAAUGAAUGCAUGGACAAAUGGAUGGGUGGAUGGAUGGAUGAACGUAAGUAUGGAUGGAUGGACAGAUGGAUAGCAUUAUGAUCCUGGACUUAUGGACAGGUGGAUGGAUGGAUGAACGUAAGUGUGGAUGAAUGGACAGAUGGAUAGCAUUAUGAUCUCGGACUUAACUCACUCUCACUGUUACAAGUAGAUGUACGAGGCUGUGUGAUGUAGAUUCCUGACCCUAUGCUUUUCUUAGGUCGUUGUUUUUUAAAAUUUGCUAGCACGUUGUCAAGUCUCUUACUUCAAUUGGUAUGACAUCUUGUCCUUCAAGAUAUCUGCAGUUUCUGGACAAGUGUCUCCCUCAUCCAAUAUCAGUUUUCAGCCUUUUGGAUCAGAAGGACCACACCCUACUAAACUUCCUGCCCUUGUGAGGAGCCUCACUGUUUCUAGAGUGACCACCAAUAACUCAGAACCUUCAGGCCAGUUCACAACCUCCCCUAUAGGCCAGCUGGUCACCUCCCAGAGGAUACUCUUCUUUUAAAGCCAGGUAUUUCAGCAAGACAAAAAUGCCAUCUGCGCUCUCAAGGCUGCAUUUUUUUACCUUUGUCCUAAGAUCCCCUGGAUGCCAGAUGCUGGUUUUUUUCUGACACUAGUCGUUUAAAACAAGUGGAGGCUUUUGCGUGGGGCCAGGUGGGUCAGAGACCUUUGAGAAGGGACUGGCUACACCUGGAUUAUGCCUUGUGCAAUGUGCUCUGUGAGUCCCCUGAUUCUGUUGCCUUGCCUGUCACCCACCUGCUGGCUCUGAUCUUGAACUGGCCCCUUGGAGGUGGUGUCCCAUCCUCCCCCAUCUAGGCUUGAUGUCUCAGGUCACUGACCUGGUUUCUGGCCUGAACUAGCUCCACCUGGGCUGGACUCAGUACCCAGUCUCUCUCUCCCUGCCUGACCUGCUCCUUGUUACUUCUUAACUUUGGCAUCAGCGGCUUAAAGGGGACCCACACAACUCAGAGGCAGUGAGGAACAGGGCAGACUUCUUUGGCUGUGGUACUCAGCAGCCACUGUUAAAUCUUUGUAAGCCGUCUUAUCUUGGGUCAGCCCAGCAGGGACAAAAAAGAAAAAAAGGCAGUGUAUUUGGGAAGUGUUCCAGGGAUGCCAAAUGUAGGACUGGGGGAAUGGGCAGAGAAAAAGUGAGAGGCAUUUUCAGGAUGCAAGACAGGGUUGCUCACAGCUAAGGGGGAGGACCAGUACUCCACUGGCUGGAAUCUUCUGAAGAGCCUUUUGGAAUGCCUUUUGGAACUGUCUCCCAGGGCUCAGGUGGGGAGUCUUUCCUCUUUUGGCUCCUCUCCUCCCACAGGCCAAGGGUGACCCUGGGCAUAAACACCCCUGCACUUUGGAACGGUGCCUGUGUGAAUGUUCAGUGGAUCCCCGCAGGAGUCCCCAUCUUCCUUAGCAUCAGGGAAGGUCUGAGGCAGAAAGUGAGAGAGGCCUGAGGUGUGGAGUCCAGGAGAGGAAGGUGACAUCCCUGAAGCAGAUUGAAACCUGCUAGUUUGUCACAGGCUGAGGCAGCGGUGACUAGACCAAGAGGUCCAGACAUACAGAUAGGCAGUGGUGCUCAGAAGGUGUCCAGUGUUGUGAAAUGAGGGGUGUC
ensembl:lncRNA